GAAAGUAGAUCUUUAUACCGACCAGGAAGAGGACGUGUUUGCAGUUCGCGCUAUAGUCUGCCAAGGAUUUUGAGAUGCUGAAGUACAGUCUGCUUGUUAUAAUCCUUGCAUUAUUGCAAACAGUGGUGUCAAGAGACUGACCAAAGAUGUUGAGAAGAAGUGGAUGGACUACAAACAAGGAUACCAUUGUUGACAUAGAGAGGGAGACACUGAAAGUCCUAAAGGAUCUUCUUGAGGUCCAAAAAAACAGACUCCACUUGGAAGAACAGAAACGGGCCAACAUCAUUUCACUGGAAGCUGGCCGCUCUGGCUGACUCAAUGUGUCACCAAUUAUUCAGUUCAUAUAAACUUUGUGUCAUUUUCAAAAAUAAAACAAUUCAGACAGUAAAUGUAGCUUCUGCUUUCAUUGAUGAUCGGUUACUAAAAGACAUAAUAAUCUUUAUCACACAAUCAUUAAGAGAAACAGUAGUAGUAUUAUCUUAAAGUAUCAUAUCUUAAUGUCAUCAGCACCUUACUAAUGUCUCAAAUAUUGAUAAAUGUUGUAUGUCAGUGAGUAAAAUAAGUGAUGUACAUGCCGUGACCUGGACUUAAGGAGUCCAAAACCCUCUCCACGGUAUGAUGUGUUCUACAGUGUGCAGUGUUGUAGUGUUCCUCAGACGGUGUUGUAGGGUUCACUAUUGGUGUAAGUGUAGGCAAGGAUUAUAUCCUACCUAAAUAUUAUCCUGGGGGAAGUUUUACUCUAGAGUAUAGUAUCCUACCUUAGUGCCACACUGGUAUAGGUUCAAAUUCACUAGGGAGAAUUAUCCUGACGCAAGAGAAUUUCAUCCCCGGCAGAAAAAAUAGGGGCGGAUAGGAUUGACUCUUACAUAGCAGCAAUGGGCGACAUGAUUAUCUGAUUGAAAAAGUGUCAAUGCGUUAAACAUACUGACCAUGCCACUAAAAAUUGAAAAACAACUUAAAAUGUCCCAAUUUCAAAGGUUAUUCCAUUUUGUGACAAUUUUAAUGGUGUCAGCUUACAUUGUGAAAUUUUGUAUUUCCGUAUACGACGCUAUAAGCGCUCCGCUCUAAUAAGUGCCCACGGCGACAUUUGCUAAGAUAUUGGCUAGUGAAAAAUCCCAAUUAGCAACCCUUCCGAUUGAUCAAUGUACAAAAGACUUAUUUAUUCGGGUAUAAUACGCACUCUUGUGUUAUAUCAGCCAUGCAUUCAUUAAUGAAUGUUAAAGUUAUUUAAUCUAUGUCUGUGUGUGAUCAUCCAACUGGUUGUUUACAGUUUCCUUUUUUCAUUCUGUAUUCAGUAGUGAGCAUUGCUGUAAAACAAUCGUCCUUUAUCACAAUGGAAAUUCUUUCGGUAAUAGAAACCUGUUUUGGACCUCAUGACAAAACCAAUAUCGUGCCUCAGGUAAUGAUUUUGUUUAAUAUCAAUGAGUAGGUGGUAUUACAUAUUGAUGACUUGAGAGUUACCUCCCUUACUGUACGCACUUGUGUAUUACGUCACUGUUGUUGUCUGAUGGUGUUCUUGAAACUAAGAAGUAAAUCCAUUGACCAACCACUUCUAUCUGUUAUGACUUGAUAGUAGUGACGUCUGGUAACAUCAAGCUCUUAACAGGUGACAGUACUAGUCAUUCUCAAGGUCAUUAAUGGCGUAAUCAAGGUGUCUAUCCUUCGAUGUUUCACUUACUAAUUUUGUUAUUACAUGUGAACAACUAAUUUAUUUUACUGUUAAAUAAGGAUGUUGCUGGGAGUUGUUAAAGUCUGUGCAGUGUGAUGUACUUUAGUUCUGAGUCACAGAUAGCUUGAACAUUUAUGGCACAGAAGCCCUUCCUGCAAACGUCUUCAUCUUCGGGGGGUCACACACUAGGUAUGAGGUGCCAUCUAUACAACCAAGCGCUAUUGGAAAUCUACUAAUGUUAUAAAAUGCUUCCUCUGUAACUCGUUAGUCGGAUGUUGUCUUUGGGAACAAAAUCAGUUUUAGUUGUUUGACAAUGGCUUCAUUUGUACGGGUAAACACCCGUGACACAGUGGACUGGGAUACCCCAUGCAAGUCUGCUAGUUCAGUGAAGAACGACCCCUGACCAUAAAAUCUGAGGGCAAGCAAAACCUGUGUUUCCGGGGACAAUGCAUGGGAAAGCUCUGUUUGGGAAGCAAGAUAUGGUUUUAGUGUUUGUAAGCAAAUAUUGCAUGAUGUGGUAACCGGUAGGGCUGGAUAAUGCUGUCUUCGUCCAGUGUUGUCAGGUACCCUAGUUCGGUCUCUUGGUUGUGACCGUUUUGAUUUUUCUUCAUAUAAGCCAAGCAACAAAUAUGAAGGCAACUGAUUCUAAAGUUACGACAGAAAUGUUUGAUUUACGAUAGGUACUAGCCACUCAUAACUUUUCUCUUAAUUUUAAGAGAUAUUUUCUCGAUAGCCUUGUGGAUUGCCUAA